rnacentral:rRNA from 1 species
UGGAUGUGUGAGCCAACAGCUGGGGUCAUGAAGGGGGCCGGAGGGUGGUUCGGGUUGACGGGGGGUGAAGGGGGAGUAGGUGGUGAGGUAAGUCGGAUGUGAAAUCUCCGAGCUCAACUCGGAAAUUGCAUUGGGAGCUACCGUGCUCGAGGGUUGGAGGGGGGACUGGAAUGCUUGGUGUAGCAGUGAAAUGCGUAGAUAUCAAGCGGAACACCAGUGGCGAAGGCGAGUCCCUGGACAACUCCUGACACUGAGGCACGAAAGCUAGGGGAGCAAACAGGAUUAGAUACCCGGGUAGUC